rnacentral:rRNA from 1 species
UACAGAGGGGCAAGCGUUGUUCGGAAUUACUGGGCGUAAAGGGCGCGUAGGCGGCCCGGUAAGUCCGCUCUGAAAGUCCAAGGCUCAACCUUGGAAUGCGGGUGGAUACUGCCGGGCUAGAGUCCGGAAGAGGCGAGUGGAAUUCCUGGUGUAGCGGUGGAAUGCGCAGAUAUCGGGAAGAACGACCCGUGGCGCAAGGACAAGGCCAUCUCG